AGGAAACAGUCUGGAUUCAUCUGUUGCCAGUUAGAGCCAUGGGGCUGUGUGGAGGCCUGGGGAAUCCAGGCCCUUUCUUUCUUCUGGCUGGGAGCACCCGAAUAACGAAGGACCUGCUCCAGCAGGAAAGAGUACCCAUGUCCAUCCCAUACCCCUGACAGCUCAGCCCCGAUUGCUCAUCUGUUUCCAAGUACAGCUGAGACAUUUUGCUGGUGGGCAGAGAAGUCAGGGACUCUGCAUCCAGCACCCUGCAGCAGAGGAAGCAUUAGUAUUGCUGUUGUUAGCCUUGUUAUUUUCUCCUAAUAAAAAGGUGGUCGUGACUCACUCCAUU
rnacentral:lncRNA from 1 species